CACCAUUUAUGAAAGGAUGAGUCACCUAGUCUAAAGUGGUGAGUCACCUAGCCUAAAGUUAUGACUCACCUAGUCUAAGGUAUCUUCCUUAAUGAAGCUGAAUUUUUUUUAGAGCUAAGAGAGAGAGAGAGAGAGAGACUAAGAAGAAGAAGAAGAAGAAGAAGAAGAAAGGAGAAGACUGGGAAAUAAGGGAGUGGAGGUUAUUGCUAUUACAUCCAUGAGAGAAUUAAGAAAGAAAUGUGAGAGGUAGAAAAGAAAAUGGUUUAGUGUUGAAGCAAUUGGAAGGAUGAAAGGCUUGAGUGGAAACAGAAGGAUUGGAAGAGUAAUUCGGUAAUCUAACUAGUCGAACGUGAGAUUGUGCAGGAUUCAAGACGAAGUUUGAGGAAGCGGGUUUCAACUAAACUACUAGGCUUUUGUUGUUGAUUUAAUUUAUAUUUGUAAGUAGUCAACCGUUUGAUAAAAAUCUUAGGGUAUAUUUAACUACGAACUACUACGACUCUGAUUUUUUGUUGUUAAGUAAAUUUGUAUUAUUUGUGGCUCUAUUUUUUAUCUUAUAUUGGUUGUAGGAUUUUAUUCUUAUGACUAUGAUAUCACUCACACCAUGAUUCGGGAAUAUUUCUUAUUUUUGAAUCGGGUUGUGACAUUGUUCCUCACUUA